AAAAAAAAUACCAAAAAAAAGAGAUUGGUUAAAUAGACUGACUAUAUUGACCGCCGAGCAAAUCAACGGCGUGAACGAAACUCC
rnacentral:sRNA from 1 species